rnacentral:rRNA from 1 species
UACGUAGGGUGCAAGCGUUGUCCGGAAUUAUUGGGCGUAAAGAGCUCGUAGGCGGUCUGUCACGUCGGGCGUGAAAAUCCAGGGCUUAACCCUGGACCUGCGUUCGAUACGGGCAGACUAGAGUUCGGUAGGGGAGACUGGAAUCCCUGGUGUAGCGGUGAAAUGCGCAGAUAUCAGGAGGAACACCGGUGGCGAAGGCGGGUCUCUGGGCCGAGACUGACGCUGAGGAGCGAAAGCGUGGGGAGCGAACAGG